CAAAUCGUCAAUAGGUUUCCAAACUGCGCUGCAGGGUUGAAUCUGUGGCCAUCGUGGAAGGGGUAAAGGAGGGCAGGCGGGGGAUGGGUGGCGGAACGGACUGACGACCCGGGCGGGCAUGUGCAGGCAUGGAGCGAGAGUGCAUGGGUAAGGUUAACUAACUAACGGAAAAGAACUGGAAACGAAGGACUCGCGCUUUACGCCGUCGGGUGCACCUGUCGGUGAACCUUGCAUGGUUUUAUUGGCUGUGCAGCAUGCCGGCGCGACGUGGACCCUGCCCGUGAUUCCGCGCUUAAGGGUUCCAUGCAUGGUGUCAAGCGGUGGUGCUGCUUUAUUGGUAUCUACCGGUGUUGGCCGCCAGGCGAUUGCCUUGGAUGCGGUGCCAGCGGGUAAAACACGGGCGACAACUGGGACCGACCCAAUCCCGGUCCGCACACAGGGCAACCACGGGAUACAGCAACGUUUCAAAUCUGACAUGGGUCCCUACCGGCUUGGGUGCAUAGGGCUCCCAGGUCUCGGCGCCCAAGCAGCGGACGGACUGGCACGUAGCAGACAUGGCGGCGCUGUUGCCCUUACUGGUGAAGGCGCAGGGAUCGUUCUGGCACACAACCGGUGUCCUGUUGGUGCACCUGCGAGCGAAAAAAAUGUUCGAAUUAAGUAGGCGCAUAUCGCAGCACCUUCUUCACUGGGCGUACCGUACCUACCACGGCCCAGGUAACGAGCAGAGGGUUGUGGGUCUUGGGAUGGUAUUGCAUACACGCACGUCCCCUUACACCUCCCGAUUACAGCGUAAUAACAUUAUGGUUUACAAAGUGCGCACGACACCCUCAUUAGCAGCAGACUUUAUGACAAAAAUAAGAUCGCUGCAUUGCACGUCUGUAAAAUAUUUGAUUGUUUAUAGAUCGUGCCCUGGUACAAUAGAUAUGGACCGUCCAUUCCAUUACAUCAGAGUGCAAUCGAUAGACGAUGAAACAUUUUACAGGAGCAAAUGCUAGGGGUUUCCUGCUAUGUACGGAAAGGAUCGCGUGCGCUAGCACAUGCCCGCAGGGUCCUUACCUACCGAGUACACACGUGACGACGCACAAUUGCAGCGCACCCGCUAGGAGUCGACGCUUAAGGCGCCGGUCUUGCAGCUAUCUAUCGCACCUUAGGUAAUCGCAAGAGCC
rnacentral:lncRNA from 1 species